UACGUAGGGGGCAAGUGUUGUCCGGAUUUAUUGGGCGUAAAGCGCUUGUAGGCGGCUUGUUAAGUUCCGUGUGAAAUCCCCAGGCUUAACCUGGGAAGUGCGCGGAAAACUGGCGAGCUUGAGUGCCGGAGAGGGUCGCGGAAUUCCCGGUGUAGAGGUGAAAUUCGUAGAUAUCGGGAGGAACACCAGUGGCGAAGGCGGCGACCUGGACGGACACUGACGCUGAGACGCGAAAGCGUGGGGAGCAAACAGG
rnacentral:rRNA from 1 species